rnacentral:rRNA from 1 species
CCAGCAGCCGCGGUAAUUCCAGCCCCAAUAGCGUAUAUUAAAGUUGUUGCAGUUAAAAAGCUCGUAGUUGAAUUUCGGGGUCAGUAAGUUGGUCGUGCCACUGGUAUGCACUGGCUUUGCUGAUUCCUCCUUCUUGUAGAACCGUAAUGCCAUUAAUUUGGUGUUGCGGGGAAACAGGACUGUUACUUUGAAAAA